rnacentral:rRNA from 13 species
GCAUGCAUACAAGCAGUGGGAGCACCUUCGUGGUGUGACUGCGUACCUUUUGUAUAAUGGGUCAGCGACUUAUAUUCAGUAGCGAGGUUAACCGUAUAGGGGAGCCGUAGAGAAAUCGAGUCUUAAUAGGGCGUUUAGUUGCUGGGUAUAGACCCGAAACCAGGCGAUCUAUCCAUGAGCAGGUUGAAGGUUGGGUAACACUAACUGGAGGACCGAACCCACUGUCGUUGAAAAGCCAGGGGAUGACUUGUGGAUAGGGGUGAAAGGCUAAUCAAGCCUGGUGAUAGCUGGUUCUCCCCGAAAGCUAUUUAGGUAGCGCCUCGGACGAAUACCAUAGGGGGUAGAGCACUGUUUCGGCUAGGGGGUCAUCCCGACUUACCAAACCGAUGCAAACUCCGAAUACCUAUGAGUACUAUCCGGGAGACAGACUGCGGGUGCUAACGUCCGUAGUCAAGAGGAAAACAAUCCAGACCGCCAGCUAAGGCCCCAAAAUCAUAGUUAAGUGGGAAACGAUGUGGGAAGGCAUAGACAGCUAGGAGGUUGGCUUAGAAGCAGCCACCCUUUAAAGAAAGCGUAAUAGCUCACUAGUCGAGUCGGCCUGCGCGGAAGAUGUAACGGGGCUAAAACUAUGUGCCGAAGCUGCGGAUGUAUACUUUGUAUACGUGGUAGGGGAGCGUUCUGUAAGCCGAUGAAGGUGUGUUGAGAAGCAUGCUGGAGGUAUCAGAAGUGCGAAUGCUGACGUGAGUAACGACAAAACGGGUGAAAAACCCGUUCGCCGAAAGACCAAGGGUUCCAGUCCAACGUUAAUCGGGGCUGGGUGAGUCGACCCCUAAGGCGAGGCCGAAAGGCGUAGUCGAUGGGAAAAUGGUUAAUAUUCCAUUACUUCUGUGUAAUGCGAUGAGAGGACGGAGAAGGCUAAAUCAGCCUGGCGUUGGUUGUCCAGGUGAAAGGAUGUAGGCAUGUAUCUUAGGCAAAUCCGGGGUACUCUAUGCUGAGAUCUGAUAGCAAGCUGUACUUGUACAGCGAAGUGGUUGAUGCCAUGCUUCCAGGAAAAGUCUCUAAGCUUCAGUUACACAGGAAUCGUACCCGAAACCGACACAGGUGGUCAGGUCGAGUAGACCAAGGCGCUUGAGAGAACUCUGCUGAAGGAACUAGGCAAAAUGGUACCGUAACUUCGGGAGAAGGUACGCUGUUGUUGGUGAUGGAACUCGCUUCCUGAGCUGACGACAGCCGCAGAAACCAGGCCGCUGCAACUGUUUAUUAAAAACAUAGCACUCUGCAAACACGAAAGUGGACGUAUAGGGUGUGAUGCCUGCCCGGUGCUGGAAGGUUAAUUGAUGGGGUUAGCGUAAGCGAAGCUCUUGAUCGAAGCCCCAGUAAACGGCGGCCGUAACUAUAACGGUCCUAAGGUAGCGAAAUUCCUUGUCGGGUAAGUUCCGACCUGCACGAAUGGCAUAAUGAUGGCGGCGCUGUCUCCAGCAGAGGCUCAGUGAAAUCGAAAUCGCUGUGAAGAUGCAGUGUACCCGCGGCUAGACGGAAAGACCCCGUGAACCUUUACUGCAGCUUGACACUGAACUUUGACCUUACUUGUGUAGGAUAGGUGGGAGGCUUUGAAGCUGGAACGCUAGUUCCAGUGGAGCCGUCCUUGAAAUACCACCCUGGUAAUGUUGAGGUUCUAACUCUGUCCCGUGAUCCGGGACGAGGACCGUGUCUGGUGGGUAGUUUGACUGGGGCGGUCUCCUCCUAAAGAGUAACGGAGGAGUACGAAGGUGCGCUCAGCGUGGUCGGAAAUCACGCGUAGAGUAUAAAGGCAAAAGCGCGCUUAACUGCGAGACCCACAAGUCGAGCAGGUACGAAAGUAGGUCUUAGUGAUCCGGUGGUUCUGUAUGGAAGGGCCAUCGCUCAACGGAUAAAAGGUACUCUGGGGAUAACAGGCUGAUACCGCCCAAGAGUUCAUAUCGACGGCGGUGUUUGGCACCUCGAUGUCGGCUCAUCUCAUCCUGGGGCUGAAGCAGGUCCCAAGGGUAUGGCUGUUCGCCAUUUAAAGAGGUACGCGAGCUGGGUUUAGAACGUCGUGAGACAGUUCGGUCCCUAUCUACCGUGGGCGCUGGAAAUUUGAGAGGAUCUGCUCCUAGUACGAGAGGACCAGAGUGGACGAACCUCUGGUGUACCGGUUGUGACGCCAGUCGCAUCGCCGGGUAGCUAUGUUCGGAAGGGAUAACCGCUGAAAGCAUCUAAGCGGGAAGCCUACCUCAAGAUAAGAUUUCCCUAGGACUUUAUGUCCUCUAAAGAGCCGUUCGAGACUAGGACGUUGAUAGGUUGGAUGUGGAAGCAUAGUGAUAUGUGAAGCUGACCAAUACUAAUUGCUCGUGAGGCUUGACUAU